rnacentral:rRNA from 1 species
GACGGAGGAUGCAAGCGUUAUCCGGAAUGAUUGGGCGUAAAGCGUCCGCAGGUGGCAGUUCAAGUCUGCUGUCAAAGACCGGGGCUUAACUUCGGAAAGGCAGUGGAAACUGAACAGCUAGAGUAUGGUAGGGGCAGAGGGAAUUCCUGGUGUAGCGGUGGAAUGCGUAGAGAUCGGGAAGAACAUCAGUGGCGAAGGCGGCCUGCUGGGCUGUUGCUGACGCUGAGGCGCGACAGCGUGGGGAGCAAACAGG